rnacentral:rRNA from 1 species
GAUGAACGCUGGCGGUAUGCUUAACACAUGCAAGUCGAACGCAGACUUGCGGAUCUUAGUGGCGGGCGGUUAAGUAAGGCGGGAGAAUUAGGAUUCAGGUUGGGUACAACCACGACUAACGGCAGCUAAUACCCAAUGUGCUGUUAAGGUGUAAUAUUAAUUGCCUGAAGAUUAGCUCGCGUCUGAUGGUCUUGUUGGUGGUGUAAGAUCUCACCAAGGCGACUAUCAUUAUCGGGUCUGAGGGGACGUUCAGCCACACUGGCACUGAGACACGGCAGAGACUCCUACGGGAGGAAGGAGGGGGGAAUGUUGCGCAAUGGGCGCAAGACUGACGAAGCACUACCGUGUGAGGGAGGAAGGCUCUUGGGUUGAAAACCUCUUUACUCAGGGAAGCAGGCAAUGACGGUACCUGAGGAAAAAGCAUCGGCUAACUACGUG